AUUUCUACGUCGACCGGAGAGCGUGGUGUUUUUUAUAUACUCUUGUUAGUUGGAUUUUAUCGUGUUGGGUAAAACACGUCCAUGUCAGUGCGUACUCGGGUGAUAAUAUAUAUUAGUGAUGGGUAUUCAAGCCACAGAGUAGGUCUUUUUGGAUGGUGGAUGGACCUAUACGGAAAAGGAUAUUGCCCCGCUUCAGUUUACAAGAGGAUAGGUAAAUAGAGAAGACAGAAGUAAACGAUCAUGGAAUCUACAACAGAGUUGCAGGGAAGACGUGAGAAUUUUAUGCCUUUCUGGAGAGAGAAAGGUCCUUGCUGUGCGUAACCUCCAUUCUACUGUCCUGAACAUUAAUCGAAGGAAGUAAAAAUGUUGAACGUCGCCAAAGAAUCUGUAAGGAAGAAGAUUUGAAGCCUCGUCUUUGCGCAGAAGCAGGAUGUUUUUCGAUUCUCCGGGAAUUCGAUCCUUUUUGCAAGCAUCGUGAUAUUCUUAGAACUACUCUAAACAGGUAUUGUGGAACUCCUCAUCAACAUGCAGUAAAAGUACUACCUGAGAGAAUGGAUUAAAUUUGCGA